UCAGAUGCAAAUAAUUAAUACAUAUCGGGUCAGGGUAACUUAAUCUAGCUCCAAUUGGAUCCUUUUUGACCCAGCUUUGAAAUGGGGUUUUAGCAAACAUAUUCACAAAAUAAACCCUUUUUUCCUACCCAGUUGGAUGUGAUAAGCAGUUUUUAGAAAUGGCAAAAGGUAUGAUAUGGGCAACAGCUGAAGAUUUGGCUAGGAAUAAAGGUCGGGUUCUGUCAUUGUAUCGCCAGAUAUUGAGGAGCCUAAACUCACCCAAUUUGCCACUGAACUUGGCGGCUCGAUUAUCUAAGAAAGCAGAGGUCCGUGCAAUCUUUAUGGUGGCUGCUGAGGAACGAUCACUACAUAAUGUGGAAGAUCUUAUUGAUACAGGCGAGUACGCUCUCUCCCUCUUGAGGAAAGGUGAAAUCCCGAAAUAUAUUCAGUAAUAUCAAUCUGCUCGUCACUUAUGAAGACUUGUCCUCUCCAUAAAUGUUUUGACAGUUAAAAUGUCUACAUAUGUAUGAAAGUGAAAUCUCGUAUGCAUAUCAUAUUAAAUAUGAUAUGCAAUAGCUUGCUCUCAUUGAUGUGAAAGUUGUAAUAGCUCGCUCUCAUUGAUGGUGAAGUUGUUUUUAGUAUAUUUUUGGUACUUGUUUAGAAAGUUUGAAGGAUCAUAUUAGCUAAUCUAUAUUGUUGGGGUGCCAGUAGCCAAAACUUUUAGUACUUCUAGAGGCGUAUCCAAUGGCUUAGUUCUUGCAACUGCCUAUCGAAAUGUAGAGAUAAAACUAUAAUACAAAUUUGGUGUGGCAUUAUUGUUUUGAUAUCAUCACUGGCAGAAUGUGAUUUUGUGUCUGAUA